GUAAAACUAUUCUUAAGGUCCUUACCUACAAGCUUAAGUUUUUCAGUUGAGUGGUUUCAUGACAUGUUCUUUAAUUUUUUAUUUUUGAGAGUUUCGGUUCGCACUAAUUUCACAUACUACCAACCGAAUUGAUAAGAUUCAUGAACUACGUUACGAAUUGGUAUUCCAUCUAAACUUACUCCCCACAUACCCUAUAUUUAGCUAAGUGG
rnacentral:misc_RNA from 1 species